CAGCAACCACGGUAAUACGAAGGGGGCUAGCGUUGUUCGGAAUCACUGGGCGUAAAGCGCACGUAGGCGGACUUUUAAGUCAGGGGUGAAAUCCCGAGGCUCAACCUUGGAACUGCCUUUGAUACUGGAAGUCUUGAGUUCGGGAGAGGUGAGUGGAACUGCGAGUGUAGAGGUGAAAUUCGUAGAUAUUCGCAAGAACACCAGUGGCGGAGGCGGCUCACUGGCCCGAUACUGACGCUGAGGUGCGAAAGCGUGGGGAGCAAACAGGAUUAGAUACCCGUGUAGUCCCUGUCUCUUAUAC
rnacentral:rRNA from 1 species